GUGUCAUGGUCAUUGUUGACCGUUCAUACGACCCUUGCAAUUACUUUGCAGCUUAUGUGGGGGGGGUUAUAUAACGAUCAACAGAGACCAUUGACAU
rfam:Medicago truncatula strain A17 chromosome 2, whole genome shotgun sequence.